UGACUUGUUAGAAUUUGAAAGUCUAAAGCUGUUAUGGUUUGUAAAAAGAAAUCUUUUCUCUUGUUAGGAAACGCUGGACACCUUGGAGAACCGAGAAGACAACCUGUUUCCGUAGGUGGGCUGGGGCUUCACACGCUGUUACGGACAGACUCAAACACACUGCCUUCACCGACGUGCCUAGGAAACAGCAGCCAGCAAGCUAGCUGCAAGUCCACUUUGAGUUACUCACCCUGCUGUGUCGGAGAGCUCCUAAUACAACAGAAUUCUUUGGUUUUGUUUUUUUCCAGACCUCAGUUUGAACUCUCGGAUGUGUACUUGUUUACUGCUGUAACUUUGCAAAGACGUAAAUAAAAAGAGUUUCCUCUA